UAAAAACCCUUUCUCACAAGUUGAAUGCAUCUGCCAAAAAUCUGCAGAAUUUUAUAACAGGAAGGAGAAGGAGUGGCCAUUAUGAUGGGAGGACCAGCCGAAAAUUGCCAAACGACUUUCUGACCUCAGUUGUGGAUCUGAUUGGAGCAGCCAAGAGUCUGCUUGCCUGGUUGGACAGGUCACCAUUUGCUGCUGUGACAGACUAUUCAGUUACAAGAAAUAAUGUCAUACAACUCUGCCUGGAGUUAACAACAAUUGUGCAACAGGAUUGUACUGUAUAUGAAACAGAGAAUAAAAUUCUUCACGUGUGUAAAACUCUUUCUGGAGUCUGUGACCACAUCAUAUCCCUGUCGUCAGAUCCUCUGGUUUCACAGUCUGCUCACCUGGAAGUGAUUCAACUGGCAAACAUUAAACCAAGCGAAGGGCUGGGUAUGUAUAUUAAAUCUACAUAUGAUGGCCUCCAUGUAAUUACUGGAACCACAGAAAAUUCACCUGCAGAUCGGUGCAAGAAAAUCCAUGCUGGCGAUGAAGUGAUUCAAGUUAAUCAUCAGACUGUGGAAUAUUCUAAAAUAUUGAAAACUACACAGAAUGAUCUUUGGGAAAACUUGGUUCCAGCUCUUGCUCUGAAAUUGACUUAUGGCUUUAAGUGAGUCAUGGUAACUGUGCAUCUGUUUACCUUUUUCUAAUGAUAAUAACCAUAGCUAACACUUAUUGUGUUCUUACAGUGUGCCAAGCAUCAUGUUAAGUAUUUUACAUAUUUUAUUUCAUUUAGUCCAUGCAAUAAUCCUGCAAAUAAGGUAUAUGUAGAAAUUGAGACUCAGAAUAAUUAUUCAGCUCACCCAAAACUCAAAGUUCUUUGACUCUAAGACCCAUGUUCUUACUUCAAUUUUAUUAUACUCCCUCCCAAAACUCAAAAAUUAUAUAACUAUCCAACAAAAGAGGAAGAAUCCUAACAAGCAUGUAAGUAAAUCUCAGGAUUCAAUGAAAGAUUAAGUGGGGCCAAGGUAGGAGAAGAAGAAAGGAAGUGAGAAUUUACAUAGCUGGGAUAGCGAGCCAGCUGAACUGAAAUUAGAAAUAGGGUUGAAACUUAACUUUACUGCCACUUCCUCACUCUGCUUCUUUCACUCAGAUAAGUAAGAUAUGUAAAAACACCUGUCAUAAUGCCGGGCACACAUUAGGAGCUCAAUAACAACUUUGCAACCGCCUUUCUUCUCUUUUACCUGCUACAACAGUUGGACCAAUUGGAAUCCUCCUUCUUGGCAUACUGCUACUAGAGCCAACAAAUUGAUUUUGGAAUAUAAUAGAGACAAGAUAGUAUGUUGAAUUUCAUGAAAGUAGACUUUUUUAAUAAUAUGAUCGGUUGCCAGGUUUUUUUGUGUUCAAGUAGAGGCAUAUUUGGGCAAAACCAAUGCAUUUCACUAAAUGUAGCCUACUCUGCCCUCUUUUUCUUGCUGUUGCCUGUAUUGUGGUCUGUACAGUGCAUUUAAUCUCUUAUUAGAUAAUAUACAGAGGUGGUGAAAUGGAAAUUCUCUUAAUUGAAGCAAGUAUAAAUUAUUUAUAGUCUGCAAUUAUCCCUUCUCUCCCUACGUUCAUUACCAUAGGGUUUGGUUAUGAUAUAAUAGUUACAUUAAAGUAUGGCCUAAUAAAUUUGAAAUACAUAACUAAUAUUAAUUCUCUAAUCCAUUAAUUGACUAGAAUAGUGAGAUUGCCAGUAUUGUUCCAUACCAAUUUAGACUCAUUAAUGAAAAGAACAAUGUUAAAUCUUAU
rnacentral:lncRNA from 1 species